AAAUUGAAGAGUUUGAUCAUGGCUCAGAUUGAACGCUGGCGGCAGGCCUAACACAUGCAAGUCGAACGGUAACAGGAAACAGCUUGCUGUUUCGCUGACGAGUGGCGGACGGGUGAGUAAUGUCUGGGAAACUGCCUGAUGGAGGGGGAUAACUACUGGAAACGGUAGCUAAUACCGCAUAACGUCGCAAGACCAAAGAGGGGGACCUUCGGGCCUCUUGCCAUCGGAUGUGCCCAGAUGGGAUUAGCUAGUAGGUGGGGUAACGGCUCACCUAGGCGACGAUCCCUAGCUGGUCUGAGAGGAUGACCAGCCACACUGGAACUGAGACACGGUCCAGACUCCUACGGGAGGCAGCAGUGGGGAAUAUUGCACAAUGGGCGCAAGCCUGAUGCAGCCAUGCCGCGUGUAUGAAGAAGGCCUUCGGGUUGUAAAGUACUUUCAGCGGGGAGGAAGGGAGUAAAGUUAAUACCUUUGCUCAUUGACGUUACCCGCAGAAGAAGCACCGGCUAACUCC
rnacentral:rRNA from 1 species